rnacentral:lncRNA from 1 species
AAAUAAUUUAUAACCUAUCCACGGUCUUAGAAGAUAAGGUCCGACUACUCUACCUUAACAGUGUUCCACUUAAUUGUGCAAAUAUAUUUAAAAUGUUGCCGCUGUAAAAUUGAGCGCUGCCAGUUAUACGUAUUUUAUACGUAAAAAUCACAGGAAUCUGAAAAACUCCGGCAGGCGGCAGUUUCAAAAAGUUAUCGAGAAAAUGAGAUAUAGACCUUAAAGGUCCUUUACAUCUUUACUAAAGAUUAAAGAAAACGAUUAAAAUUACUCUUUGGUAUAAUGUUUUUUACUUUUUUAAUCAGUUUUAUAAAUACAUUAUUGUUAUGUUUUACAAAACUUUGCAAUUUUUUUUUUAUUUCUGUUUAUCUUAUUCUGUUUUUUGUUUUCUUGGAAGGCAAAUUGCCUCAUGCGCAUUCUUACAUAAUACAUAAUGGUAAAUGCUAUUAUCUGUUCACCGUGUAUUGCACAUGGAAAACUGACUGGUGUAACUUUCAUUAAAUCAUCUGUAAUAUGGUCCAAAACGUUUGCCGAUGUACAGUGUUUGCUAAAACUUUCUUCGACUUUUUUUAUAAAAUUAAAGAAGCAUAUGUUAGGGUGUAUUAAUCCACCUCUUGUUUUCAUGUUCACCAAAGUAGCAGGCAACUGCUGAGAAUAUAUAUCUGAUACAACAAAAGAAGAUUUACAGACAUCACAGUCUUUGGGAGUGGCCAAUACAAACAACUAACAAGCAUAAACAAUUAUACAUUUGUACCAAUACUUAUACAUACCAGUCAAAUAGUAUAUUAAACAGUCUACAACCUCAGCUUUUGCAUAAUCGUGUUCGACUACAUCGGAUGAUAAAUAUUCUUCAAAUCUGAUAUGGAAAUUAAUGGAGUUAAUGGAGAAUCAUCAUUUAUUGUGCAAUUUCCACUUUUGGGUGGUUUCAGUAUACUGUAAGUUGAUAAUAACUUGUACAGUUGUAGAAAUGUUGGCGCUGAUGGGUGAUCGUUGGAUCCCGCAGCUUGGCGAAUUAUUCCAAAAAACAUCUAGUUAAUAAAUAUUUGAAAUUCCAACAAGAAUUCAAGUAUUUGGAUAGAUCAAGUGUAGACUGGAUUGUCACUCUCAGACCACAAGCAGUACUGUCUGUUAGGAAUUCAGAUUUUUUUAUGUGGCCAUCAUCAUAUUGUUUUUGCCAAUCAUUCAUCCAAAUUAAAAAUGAUUGAAGAAACUGAAUGUUAAAAUCAGAAGUGCUGCAGCCCAUUAAAGAAGUAUUGUCAUCAAAACUAGUAGAAUAGUUAUGUUCUAGCAUAACUCUUGAACUCGACAUAAGAUCAUUAGGCAGAAGUUCAAUAUUAAUUGUUGGUUUACAAAUUAAUUCCUAAAAGUUAAUUGAAAAAAUUGUGUUAGAUAUUUUGGGUACAAUUUAAAUAACUAAAUAACUUAGAAAAAAUUAAGACUACAUUAAGUUAAUAUAUAGUGUAGAAAUUAUAAAAUUAUUUGAUGAACAAAUGGAAAUAUGUUCACAUGUUUAGUGUUUAAUAAAAUAGUAUAAUUUUUAAAAUAAUUAUAUUGUAUUUUCAUUUAUUGAUAAAUUAAUACUAAUUAUUAUAUUAUUAAAAAAUAAAAAUGUACUUCUUCAUCACCGCCACAUGUAAAAGUUGUUCUAUUAGUGGUAGAACUACUAGUGUCUAAUGCAUUGCAUGGUUGAAUUAAAUCUUCCACCUAUUAUUAAAAUUGGUAAAGAAU